rnacentral:rRNA from 1 species
UGGCGCACGGGUGAGUAACGCGUGGAUAAUCUGCCCUUAUGAUUGGAAUAACAGUUGGAAACGGCUGCUAAUACCGGAUACGCUCAAAAUGAACUUUUUGAGGAAAGAUGGCCUCUGCUUGCAUGCUAUCGCAUAAGGAUGAGUCCGCGUCCCAUUAGCUUGUUGGCGGGGUAACGGCCCACCAAGGCAACGAUGGGUAGCCGAUUUGAGAGGAUGAUCGGCCACACUGGAACUGAAACACGGUCCAGACUCCUACGGGAGGCAGCAGUGGGGAAUAUUGCGCAAUGGGCGAAAGCCUGACGCAGCGACGCCGCGUGAGGGAUGAAGGUUUUCGGAUCGUAAACCUCUGUCAGAAGGGAAGAAACUACGUUGUGCUAAUCAGCAGCGUACUGACGGUACCUUCAAAGGAAGCACCGGCUAACUCCGUGCCAGCAGCCGCGGUAAUACGGAGGGUGCAAGCGUUAAUCGGAAUUACUGGGCGUAAAGCGCACGUAGGCUGUAGUGUAAGUCAGGGGUGAAAUCCCACGGCUCAACCGUGGAACUGCCUUUGAUACUGCACAACUUGAAUCCGGGAGAGGGUGGCGGAAUUCCAGGUGUAGGAGUGAAAUCCGUAGAUAUCUGGAGGAACAUCAGUGGCGAAGGCGG